rnacentral:tRNA from 1 species
GCCUGGCUGGCUCAGGUGGAAGAGUGUGUGACUCUUGAUCUCAAGGUCGUGGGUUUGAGCCCCACAUGGGGUG